rnacentral:rRNA from 1 species
GACGAACGCUGGCGGCGUGCUUAACACAUGCAAGUCGAGCGGUAAGGCCUUUCGGGGUACCCGAGCGGCGAACGGGUGAGUAACACGUGGGUGAUCUGCCCUGCACUUCGGGAUAAGCCUGGGAAACUGGGUCUAAUACCGGAUAUGACCUCCUAUCGCAUGGUGGGUGGUGGAAAGAUUUAUCGAUGCAGGAUGGGCCCGCGGCCUAUCAGCUUGUUGGUGGGGUAAUGGCCUACCAAGGCGACGACGGGUAGCCGACCUGAGAGGGUGACCGGCCACACUGGGACUGAGACACGGCCCAGACUCCUACGGGAGGCAGCAGUGGGGAAUAUUGCACAAUGGGCGAAAGCCUGAUGCAGCGACGCCGCGUGAGGGAUGACGGCCUUCGGGUUGUAAACCUCUUUCAGCAGGGACGAAGCGCAAGUGACGGUACCUGCAGAAGAAGCACCGGCUAACUACGUG